GAGACAUCCUUUUGGGGCAAGACUUGCUUCAGUGGGGCUUUGGUGCUCACUGAGUCUGCCUCCUGAGUGUGUCCCU
rnacentral:pre_miRNA from 1 species